rnacentral:tRNA from 1 species
GCCCCUGUCGUCUAGCCUGGCCUAGGACGUCGCGUUCUCAUCGCGAAAACCCGGGUUCGAAUCCCGGCGGGGGCG